GGCUUGGGGCUUGGUUCUAUGUCCCUGCGGGUCGGUGCAAGGGCGAAGAGGAACCCGUGGGCCUCAGGGGAUCCCGGGGGGCCGGACCAGUGUUCCCUAGUUGUGGGAGCAGACGCGUGGGCACAUUGCGGGCGGGCAGGGCCUGAAGUGCAGGUGCGGGCAGUGGACCCUGGCGGGGGCUGGGAGGACAGGCGUGGGGUCCCGGCAGUGAAACGGGUUCUAGAGGCGCAGGAGCAGGUAGGAGAGGCCGGUGGCCCUGGGCCCGGAGUCUGCAGGCCGCGCUCCUGUCCUGCCGCUGAGGGACCCGGUUACCAACCUGCAUGACGCUCAGUUUGCCCAUCUGUCCCAGUGGUAACACACAGUUCUCGGGAGACGUUCCCCAUUCCCAGAGGAGUAGUGUGAAACGCGUGCGCCUCUAGUCUUAAACUUGGCGUUUGUAUUAGUUGGGUUUCCUGGUGUCUCUUUAGCAAGUGAAGUUUCUGGUUCCCUCCUUCACUGUGUGACCUGCCUAGUCCUCCUGGGUCGCAUUUACAGAAGUUUAUACGAGACCUAGUUUCCAGGGAAGAACUCACUGAUUCCGCGAGGGAGAUGGCUUAAUGGAUGAUGGUCGUCAGCCUUAAGGAUACUUCAGUCUUAACUGUGUGUUACAAAGUUUGAAAGGGAGGGUUCCCUAUGAAUAAGAAGCACACUUGAAAGAACAGCCAUCUGGUCUAACCUCUCACUGGUGCUUCAGAGGAGGAAAAAAGGUCACAGCUAUGUUUCCAGUGUCCUCUGGGUGUUUCCAAGAGCAACAAGAAAUGAAUAAAUCUCUGUUGAAGAGAUACCAUUUGACAUUUUAGAGAUGGCUGCAUGCAAACUCUUGAAACAUUUGACCACCCUCCAGGGUGCCCCGACUCACUUUCCCUGCAGAUGGAGGCAAGGAGGCUCCACAGACAACCCCCCUGCCUGAGGUCACAUAGUGGCCAGCAGGCCAGAACAAAGAAGAGAAUAAGAAAAUAAUCAUCUGGUAACCAUCAUAGUAAUAAUUGUUCAAACACAAGUCAUCCAUGAAAUGCUAAAUCUAGUGGGUUCUGAGGAGUAACCAGAUAUUUACAGAGCCUCAAAGUAUCUCCAUACAAAAUACGGUUGAACUACAAAAAGAAAAUUGUAACAUUAGCAUGGACAAACCUGGCAGGUACUCCUUAACUCUCCUAAGUAAUAAAAACUGUAAAAUGCAAA
rnacentral:lncRNA from 1 species